UUAGCAUCUAAUAUGAACUAAACUGUACGAUCAAGUCCUGCGCACAAGAAUUUCUCACAAUGUUACUACAAGCUAUUGCUCUCUGUGAGAUUAUUCCUCUUUUCCUUUGCAUUCACUGAUUUCCUUCUUGUCAUUAGCCGUACUGUUCAGAUGCCCUUCGAGAAUGGACUGAAAGUCUCUGUACACAAGAUGUUCGUCUUUAUUACUGACAGAAUCUAUCCUUCUCUUCCUUGAUUUAUUAUAAUGUCUUCCUUGAAGAUCAGUCUCGAGGGUUCUUGGUUUCUUGGAAAAUAUAAGGUUCUUGGUUCUGGGUCAUUCUCUUCCCCAUCCAAGUUUGGUCGAAAGAGUCUCUUUCCUGAACUAGAGGGUUGAGAUUGUAAAUCCCGAAUUUCCUUCAUUGAUGGAGUAAAACAAGAUUCUACUGCUACUGAGAAGUUCUUCUUUGUUUCUUGGGGGUGCUAGAUUAACAAAUACAGAUUGAAGGCAAGACAAGUAUAUAUAGACAUAUAUGAGAGAGCGAUAGAUAGAAGUUUUGCGCAGGAGGCAAUUUUUCCACGCAAUCACUUAGUAACAGAGGAAGCUUUGAAGUGUGUAAAAGCACGGAUGCUGAACUUUCAAUGGCAUCUGAGGCUGUUGGCGUGCAUCCACCAAUUUGAAAUGUUACGGGGAUGGGUCAAGAUUCCAUUGAAAGGUAAAUGUUGCAGUUGCAGAUAUUGAC